UCAAAAGUGAUGUGUCGUCCCGUGUCUGAGCGCUAGAUGGCGCUGUUGUAGCGCUGCAGUACCGCUGACCUGUCUCUCUUCUCGAGGGCAAAACGUCGUUUACUUAUCAACAGCGUGACCGCAACAGAUAGACAGAGACGAGCGUUUACACGAGAACGAGCUGCAUUUGAAAGAAAGAGCAAGCUCCGUCACCAAACACAGACUCCGUGCUUCAGAUUUUCGAUUUCUUCGUUUGGGGGUUGUUCGUAAUUGAGAAACAGACGGAGGACUAUCAUAACAGAUCCCGGAGAAGCACAUUUCUGAUACUAGUUACAUGGUACCUGCUUGCACGCAAAUGCCACCACCGGUUUUUCCUCAGGGUAUCGCUGCAUGCUCUUCCGGAGGCAGGUUUUUCCGCUUCAUCUUCACAUGAGAUGACGGCAGACUGCUUUGGCUGUUUGAAGUGGUGUCCCUGUGGGAUUGUCAGUGCUGCAAGGACAGGAGCAGAACCCAACAGCGUCAGAUAGACCGGUCUUUGGCUUCAGUUCAUCUGUUGUGCUCAGGAUGGUGCAUUCAGCGUCACUCUGCGCCUGUCUGUCUCUUCUGUCUGUCCUCAGCUGUCAUUCUCAUGUUCUACCCCGACUCUCUUUUCCCACAGAGCUCUGUUUGGAGAAGACAGCUGGUAUGCUGCGGCUCAGCUUUAGGAUUAGCCUCCCCACGGAGCCCAGUGUUUUCCUCUCAGGGUCAUGAGAGCGAGCGGGGAAGGCGUUCACAUGUUCUCUGCAGAAUAAGAGCUGCGGUUAGGGCAAGAAUGUGUUGAUUUUAAUGUGACUUAGAAGUUAAUAAGCUUGCUUUGUCGUUGAGCUUCCUGUAUGUCCUCACUAUCCUUGCUGUCGGCGCUUUUUUCCGAACGCUCUGCGAAGGCCCGGAUAGCGGUGUGUGUUUCUGCAAGCAUUGGCAAGAGCUUUUCAGAUCUGAAAUAGUUGCGUAACACCACUUCACCCCCCUUCUUUCCCAGCUUGUGGGUGAAAUGAGUUUAUUGCCUCCACAGAGUUGUGAUAUCUAUUUAUGUAAUUGUUUUUGCUGUUAAAGAGAGCCGACCUUUAAACAAAUCAGAAUUAAUUGAUGUGAAAUUUAUUGAAAUGACCAAUUGCAUUAAUAAUAUGUACAGUAUUUUCAGAUGGAAGUUUAGCUUGAAGUUGAAGUUACAUUUAAGCAAUAAAUAUUAUUAUUAUUAUUAUAUUAUAUAUACA
ensembl:lncRNA